UCCUCCUGGUUUCAGGCCUCCCCUGUGUGCGUGCCCUCCCUCGCGAGACCCGCAGAGCUGGCCCGGGCCUGGCACCUACGCCGUGAACCUGGAGGCGCGCGAAGUGCGGAGCGCCUCCCGCCCUCCCUUCCUCAGCAGCUCGGCGCGGUUCAACCCCCGCUCGGACCGCCUCUUCAUGGGCAGCCAGAACCCCGUCGGUCCGGGCCGCUACAACCCCAGGACGCCCGCCCCCCCGCCGACCCCUCGCGCCAACGCGACCCCCUCCUCGUCCUCGCGCCGAUACCUGGCCGACCUGGCAUGGGACAAGUACAUGCGAGAGAGGCUCCGACCACUCAACAUGCGCCCAGAGGUUGGGCAACCUCGCUUGGGCAUCGCCACGCGAUGAGGAGGAAUCGUUCCGGGCAUCACGGAGCGCCUGACGGAGCGGUGCCGGCGGGGCGGCGGGUGGAGGCUCUCUGCACGGGAUUCCCUGCGUGCCUGCGAGCGACCAAUUCGUCCCUGCGUGGACCUAGAAAAUAUGAAGCGAGCGUUGAGCCCGGAGAGCGCUUGAAUGAGCGACCAGCGUGCAUAGCAGCAGUGGUAGUAUAGGCUGCUGCCAGGGCUAUGUAGUGGUCGGCAGCACGGAGGGCACGCAGGUACCGCAAAGUCAACUAUUGUACUGUACUCUUGCUACGCCCCAACGCCAACCCCCACCGCAUCCACCAACCCGCACUGACCAGCUUGGUGAAGUAUGGUCAAGUAAGGCAUGCACGGCGAGGGGAGGCCCUCAUUUCUACGCCGUACACGAUGUGGGGCUCGGUGGG